rnacentral:rRNA from 1 species
UACGUAGGGUGCAAGCGUUGUCCGGAAUUAUUGGGCGUAAAGAGCUCGUAGGCGGUCUGUCGCGUCGGGAGUGAAAACCUGGGGCUUAACCCCGGGCCUGCUUUCGAUACGGGCAGACUAGAGUUCGGCAGGGGAGACUGGAAUUCCUGGUGUAGCGGUGAAAUGCGCAGAUAUCAGGAGGAACACCGGUGGCGAAGGCGGGUCUCUGGGCCGAUACUGACGCUGAGGAGCGAAAGCGUGGGGAGCGAACAGG